rnacentral:tRNA from 1 species
GGGAAUUUAGCUCAGUGGUAGAGCGCUUGCCUAGCAAGCACAAGGCCCUGGGUUCAAUCCCCAGCUCU